GGAUGAACCCUUGGAGAGACUCUUAAAGAGCACCGAAGGAGAAAGCAUAAAAAAAGCGAAACUCUCAGGUAAAAGGACAGGGGACAGAUA
rnacentral:ncRNA from 2 species